UGCGUAGGCGGAAUAAUAAGUCAGUGGUGAAAUCCUGCGGCUCAACCGUAGAACUGCCAUUGAUACUGUUAUUCUUGAAUUUGGUUGAGGUAGGCGGAAUGUGUAAUGUAGCGGUGAAAUGCUUAGAUAUUACACAGAACACCGAUUGCGAAGGCAGCUUGCUAAACUAAUAUUGACGCUGAUGCACGAAAGCGUGGGGAGCGAACAGGAUUAGAUACCCUGGUAGUCC
rnacentral:rRNA from 1 species